UACGAGGGGGGCGAGCGUUUGUUCGGAAUUAUUGGGCGUAAAGGGUGCGUAGGCGGCCUGACAAGUCUGAUGUGAAAUCCCUGGGCUCAACCCAGGGCCUGCAUCGGAACUGUCGGGCUUGAGUAUGGGAGAGGUGAGUGGAAUUUCCGGUGUAGCGGUGAAAUGCGUAGAUAUCGGAAGGAACACCUGGUGGAGAAGCGCUCACUGGCCAUUACUGACGCUGAGGCACGAAAGCUAGGGGAGCAAACAGG
rnacentral:rRNA from 1 species